ACGGAGGGCGUAAGCGUUAAUCGGAAUUACUGGGCGUAAAGCGCACGCAGGCGGUUUGUUAAGUCAGAUGUGAAAUUCCCGGGCUCAACCUGGGAACUGCAUCUGAUACUGGCAAGCUUGAGUCUCGUAGAGGGGGGUAGAAUUCCAGGUGUAGCGGUGAAAUGCGUAGAGAUCUGGAGGAGUACCGGUGGCGAAGGCAGCCCCCUGGGCAAAGACUGACGCUCAGGUGCGAAAGCGUGGGGAGCAAACAU
rnacentral:rRNA from 1 species